rnacentral:rRNA from 1 species
GGAUGCGAUCAUACCAGCACUAAAGCACCGGAUCCCAUCAGAACGGCGUAGUUAAGCGUGCUUGGGCGAGAGUAGUACUAGGAUGGGUGACCUCCUGGGAAGUCCUCGUGUUGCAUUCC